rnacentral:lncRNA from 1 species
GCUCCUAACCCGCAAGACUUAAGGAGGCCCCAGCGCCCUGGAGGGCUGCUUCUCCUACCCCAGGCGUGUGCCUUCCUGGACUCAACCUGGUCGUAGGUGUGCAGUCCUCUCUCCUCUUUUGAACGCCUGACUUUGCUCACACGGGUGGGUCUCGCGACAACCUUCUCCAUGAGACACUCUGCAGGUAACCCAGGUCUGUCUCCGUGGGGGGCUGUGGGCUGCUGCAGCAGAAAGACCAACGUCCAGACUCUUAAGCAUGGACGUUGGUGCUCAUUCACUGAGCAGGUUGGCAGGUGGCUGCCUCCAUUGGGAGGCCCCUCCUGGGGGUGCGUUCUCUGUGUCCUUUGCCCCUUCUGUCCCUGGAUCCAGUUGCAGGUGGUGAGGAGCGUGGGGAAGGUACAGCCACUUCCCAAAUCCUGGACCAGGUGCUGGCCGGCCUCGCUGGCCCACGUCUCUGGGGAGCUCGUCCCAGACUUGGCCAUCUCCCCAGAUGUCUGGCCAUUUCCAAGCUGGUUGUGCGUCAGAAUCACCAUGGUUCUCUGGAGACACGGACGCCUGGCCCCAGGCCCCACAGUGCUGCUUCACAGGCCCAAGGUAGGACCUGGGCGCCUGCAGGUAAAAAGGCCCGCAGGUCCAGUGGUCCCAGCCCCUACGCUUGGCCCCGGUUCUGCCCCAGGUCCAAGGAGAGGCAUCCACGGCCCAUGUGGAGGCAGCGCCGUGGGUUCACUCCCCGCCUGGCUCCCGCAGGAUCUACGAGGGCCCCAGGGCAGAGUGGAGAGGACAUGCCCGCCUUGGGAGACAGGAGCUGGGAGAUGUGAUGUCCCCGUCAGGAGGCACAAGCUGCUAAUUGCUUUGUUUCGCGUUACCAACAUCCGCGGGGAGAGAGCAGAUGCCGCCACUUGCCCAGCCUGCUGUCCCCAGAGCAGCACCAGGAGCAUACUUCUCUCUCCUUCUCGAAGAUUCCAGGCGGAACCUCUCAGCUCGGCGCCACAAACUGAACGGCUCCACCAAGGAAGAGGAAGUGCCUUGUCUGCUGAGAGGAGCUCCAUUCAGCCUCUGAGCCUCAGUUUCCCUGUUUGUGAAACCAAGAACUAA